GGACACAAUCGUGGCUGCAGCCACAGGCUUUGGGGCUGACGAGAGAUCUGUGUCUUGUAGGGGCAGAGGCGGUGUCAUAGCGGAGUCCUGGGGUAAGGUGAGGCCCUCUUCAGCCUGCUGGGACACAAGCGUGGCUGCAGCCACAGGCUUUGGGGCUGACGAGAGAUCUGUGUCUUGUAGGGGCAGAGGCGGUGUCAUAGCGGAGUCCUGGGGUAAGGUGAGGCCCUCUUCAGCCUGCUGGGACACAAGCGUGGCUGCAGCCACAGGCUUUGGGGCUGACGAGAGUUCUGUGUCUUGUAGGGGCAGAGGCGGUGUCAUAACGGAGUCCUGGGGUAAGGUGAGGUCCUCUUUAGCCUGCCUGGGGACAAUCGUGGCUGCAGCUACAGGCUUUCUGCCAGAGGGGAGGUCCAGCCCUCCUUCUUCCUUCAAGUUCUG
rnacentral:lncRNA from 1 species